CAGACUAGCCUCUCCCCAACUUCUCCCUGCAAUUUACUGAGCCCCCCCGCGUGUACUCUGUUCUUGCAUUCGCAAAGAAAACAGCAGAUUCCGGAGUCAAUUCUCGGGCUCUCGUGACCGAUCUUUGCCGUUCUUCGUUUGAUACCAUCUUGUACACUUUGUUUAAAUUUGGCAUCGGCUCAAUACUGAGAAUCGUUGAGCGAAUCGUGUUGAAUUCCGAGGUGAGUCCCAUGAGGAACUGGAAACACUUCUCCGUUUCCCUCUGCGCUACCAUCACGGCUCCUGCCCCCACAGCUAUAACCCUGGUGCUCCAGAUCGUCCCACAAGCUUAUGGCAUCCACCGCGUAUGCGACUGUCGCCUGAAGACUCCCAUCCAUGGCGUCGAACAUCCAUGCCAGAAUUGUCGAAUGGCAUCUCUCCCAGCGAUCUCUGAGAGGGUCGUUCUCUUCUGGCUUCUCUAGACUCCCAUCGAUGAAGGGCAGUUUGUUUCUAGCCCGAAGAGCGAUCAACAUGGCUCGUGACCAUGUCAGCAAACUGGAUGCCUCGUAAAAUUUCUGAAUCAACGAUCCGGUAGUUUGGAUUCCCAAUGCAAAGGGUAGCUUCCCCAUCAAACGGAACUAUCCUAUGCAAUUCGUCAAUGGACUUUGCAGGAUGCUUAUUUUUUUACGACAGUGAGAAUCCUCGUCGCGAAGCGGAAACAUGCAUAUAAGAGCAAGCAUCUGUAGGAGGGAAAAAAAUUCACCCAAAUGCGAAUAAUUUUCUUAGUCUGUUCUUGGUAGAGUUGUGAUAUGUGGGAAUUAGUAUCUGGGAGUGACUAUUACUAUGUAAGAUUUCUUCCAUAAAUAUCUCAUCGGCUUCCUCUAUGUAAAAUUCAAUGAAUUCAUCAAAGACUCAAUGUCCUAGUUUGUUAAGAAUUAAAGUUGAUUUACUUGAAGCUUGAUUUUGACCGAAAGAGGUUGUGUUUAGUUUCUAAUAUAUUUUAAUGUUCCUUGGUUAA